ACAGGCAAUAUCUCAUGUUUAAUAACCGUUAUUAACGUAUCGUGUUAUUUAAUACAUCGAGUGUUAAAUAUGCUAGUCCUUUCAUGAUUAUGUGAUAGGUGGUGCAUGGCCGUUCUUAGUUCGUGGAGUGAUCUGUCUGCUUAAUUGCGUUUCACUAAGGGCCCAUAAAUUCAAGGUAUGUUAGCUAUCUGUCGCUCUAUGGACCCCUUAA
rnacentral:rRNA from 1 species